UACGGAGGGUGCGAGCGUUGUCCGGAAUCAUUGGGCGUAAAGGGCGCGUAGGUGGCCCGGUCAGUUCGUGGUGAAAGCGCGGGGCUCAACCCUGCGUCGGCCAUGAAUACUGCCGCGGCUGGAGCACUGUAGAGGCAGGCGGAAUUCCGGGUGUAGCGGUGGAAUGCGUAGAGAUCCGGAAGAACACCGGUGGCGAAGGCGGCCUGCUGGGCAGUUGCUGACACUGAGGCGCGAAAGCGUGGGGAGCAAACAGG
rnacentral:rRNA from 1 species